GACGAACGCUGGCGGCGUGCUUAACACAUGCAAGUCGAACGGAAAGGCCCUGCUUUUGUGGGGUGCUCGAGUGGCGAACGGGUGAGUAACACGUGAGUAACCUGCCCUUGACUUUGGGAUAACUUCAGGAAACUGGGGCUAAUACCGGAUAGGAGCUCCUGCUGCAUGGUGGGGGUUGGAAAGUUUCGGCGGUUGGGGAUGGACUCGCGGCUUAUCAGCUUGUUGGUGGGGUAGUGGCUUACCAAGGCUUUGACGGGUAGCCGGCCUGAGAGGGUGACCGGCCACAUUGGGACUGAGGUACGGCGCAGACUCCUACGGGAGGCAGCAGUGGGGAAUAUUGCACAAUGGGCGGGAGCCUGAUGCAGCAACGCCGCGUGCGGGAUGACGGCCUUCGGGUUGUAAACCGCUUUCGCCUGUGACGAAGCGUGAGUGACGGUAAUGGGUAAAGAAGCACCGGCUAACUACGUG
rnacentral:rRNA from 1 species